GACGAACGCUGGCGGCGUGCCUAAUACAUGCAAGUCGAGCGCAGGAAACUGACGGAACUCUUCGGAGGGAAGGUAGCGGAAUGAGCGGCGGACGGGUGAGUAACACGUAAGGAACCUGCCUCAAGGAUUGGGAUAACUCCGAGAAAUCGGAGCUAAUACCGGAUAGUUCAACGGACCGCAUGGUCCGCUGACGAAAGGCGCUCCGGCGUCACCUUGAGAUGGCCUUGCGGUGCAUUAGCUAGUUGGUGGGGUAACGGCCCACCAAGGCGACGAUGCAUAGCCGACCUGAGAGGGUGAUCGGCCACACUGGGACUGAGACACGGCCCAGACUCCUACGGGAGGCAGCAGUAGGGAAUCUUCCACAAUGGACGAAAGUCUGAUGGAGCAACGCCGCGUGAGUGAUGAAGGUUUUCGGAUCGUAAAACUCUGUUGUAAGGGAAGAACACGUACGAGAGGGAAUGCUCGUACCUUGACGGUACCUUACGAGAAAGCCAUGGCUAACUACGUGCCAGCCGCCGCCGUAAGAC
rnacentral:rRNA from 1 species